rnacentral:misc_RNA from 1 species
AGGCUUGUAGAGAAGCCACAAAAUGUAAAGCAACAGAAAGCUUUCUUCUUCUUUCUUCUUUUGUUUUUCUUAUUUAUUAUUUAUUUAUCUGUGUGCCUGAAGCCGUGCUAUCAUGUCUUUUUUUUGAAAUAUAUUUAUUUUUUUAUUGUAUGAUUUCUUUUAAAAAAAAAAAUUUGGUUGGUUUCUCUGUUGCAAUUUUAUGUUUGUUUUAAUGGUAUAUUUAUGGUUUGCAUGCAUGUCUGAUUUUAUUUUAUUGAUUUCUUUAUCUUUUUUAAUAAGAAAGAAAAGAUAAAAAUUCACAUUUUAAUUAAGGGUAUUGGCUAGUUAUUUGGGGAUUAGGGUUCUAGGAGAGAGAUAAUAUUUUGUGGAAUCAUUAUAGUUUCGAGAUUUUAUUUAUUUAUUUAUUUGGGGAUUUUGGGAGCAAUAAGAGGGAAUUCUAAAUGCUAAUUCCUUGUGGGAAGGAAAAGAAUUCUUAGAUUUUGGUGCUUUGACGCAAAGUAUCUAAUUCUUGUUAUGUGUUAUUUUG